GAAAUGCCAUUAUAGCAACAAUAAAGGGUUUUAACAAAAAACCAAUAAGGCAAGGACCAAUGGGAAAAAGCAACAUCAAAAUUUUGGAAACUGGAAAGCAGAUAGACAAGCCGAGGACUGAGAAAGUUGAGUUAUAAGCCCACGGAGGGUAAAUUCAAGAACCAACCCAGUUUAUACUAAAGAACCCCCGAGUCACUCAGCAAUUGCUGUCCAGGAUCUCUGGAAGUAAAGCAGCAACAAAAACCAGUACAGGGGUAUUUAGAGAAACAGAAAUUAUCCAGAAAGAAGAAAAUCUCUUUUUUAAAAAGUAUUAGUUCCCUCAAAGGGAUGAAGUAUUGCAAACAUGAAAUAGGAACAGGAUUCUAUUUUAAGAAAAGCGACAUUCUGAAACCAAAAAAGUGCUCAUAAAGUUAAAAAUACGAUAUGAAAAAAAUUAAAGUCAGCAGCAGGCUUGGAAGCUAUAGAUGAGGAAAUCUCCCAGAAAGUAGAUCAAAAAGACAAAGAUAUAGAUAAUAGGAAAGAAAAGAUAAAAAACAAAACAAAACAAAACAAAAAAAACUAGAGAAACCAUCCAGAAGAUGCCAUCCAAAUAAGAGGAGUUCCAGAGAGAACAGAGAAACACAGGGGAGUACAUCAGCAACAAAACAACAAUAAAACAUGUCCCUAAGAGAGUGACAAGAAUUGCCAGAUUGAAAAGGCCCAUGAGUACCAAGUGAGACGGACAAAAAUAGACCCAUGCUGAAACAUAUCAUCGUGAAAUUUCGGAACACUAGGAGCAAAGAGAAGAUUUUAAAAAAUAAUUUCUGAUCAUUUUUAGACUACCUAAUCUGUCCAUUCCUUGGAGGAAUACAAUAAAAGAUUCAACUGGGAAUAAUGAA